rnacentral:tRNA from 1 species
GGAAGAGCAACCCGAUAGCUGGCGACGGGAUCUGUCUUGAAAAUAGCCGAGCGUUAAUAGCGCCUUGGGAGUUCGACCCUCCCCUCUUCCGCCA